AACUAACAAGGAUUCCACUAGUAACGGCGAGUGAAGCGGGAAGAGCUCAACAUGAAAAUCGUUCUGGCGUGAUUCGCCGUCCGAAUUGUAGUCUAAAGAGGCGCCACCAGACACAGCCCCAGGGAGAACUCCGGUUGGAAGACCUGGUCAGAGAGGGUGAUAACCCCGUCUGUGCCUUGGGAGUCUUGUCGUACGGUACGCCUUCGAAGAGUCGGGUUGCUUGGGAAUGCAGCUCAAAAUGGGUGGUAAAUUCCAUCUAAGGCUAAAUAUUGGCAAUAGACCGAUAGCGAAAAAGUACCGUGAGGGAAAGAUGAAAAGAACUUUGAAAAGAGAGUUAA
rnacentral:rRNA from 1 species